GCACGGGUGAGUAUCGCGUAUACAAUCUGCCUCAUACUAGGGAAUAGCCCGAAGAAAUUUGGAUUAAUACCCUAUAGUAUCUUUUUAAGGCAUCUUAUUAAGAUUAAAGGUUACGGUAUGAGAUGAGUAUGCGUUCUAUUAGCUAGUAGGUGUGGUAACGGCACACCUAGGCUACGAUAGAUAGGGGCCCUGAGAGGGGGAUCCCCCACACUGGUACUGAGACACGGACCAGACUCC
rnacentral:rRNA from 1 species